GAUGAACGCUGGCGGCGUGCCUAAUACAUGCAAGUCGAGCGAAUGGAUUAAGAGCUUGCUCUUAUGAAGUUAGCGGCGGACGGGUGAGUAACACGUGGGUAACCUGCCCAUAAGACUGGGAUAACUCCGGGAAACCGGGGCUAAUACCGGAUAACAUUUUGAACCGCAUGGUUCGAAAUUGAAAGGCGGCUUCGGCUGUCACUUAUGGAUGGACCCGCGUCGCAUUAGCUAGUUGGUGAGGUAACGGCUCACCAAGGCAACGAUGCGUAGCCGACCUGAGAGGGGGAUCGGCCACACUGGGACGGAGACACGGCCCAGACUCCUACGGGGGGCAGCAGUAGGGAAUCUUCCGCAAUGGACGAAAGUCUGACGGAGCAACGCCGCGUGAGUGAUGAAGGCUUUCGGGUCGUAAAACUCUGUUGUUAGGGAAGAACAAGUGCUAGUUGAAUAAGCUGGCACCUUGACGGUACCUAACCAGAAAGCCACGGCUAACUACGUGCCAGCCGCCGCGGUAA
rnacentral:rRNA from 1 species